UACGUAGGGCGCAAGCGUUAUCCGGAAUUAUUGGGCGUAAAGAGCUCGUAGGCGGUUUGUCGCGUCUGCCGUGAAAGUCCGGGGCUCAACUCCGGAUCUGCGGUGGGUACGGGCAGACUAGAGUGAUGUAGGGGAGACUGGAAUUCCUGGUGUAGCGGUGAAAUGCGCAGAUAUCAGGAAGAACACCGAUGGCGAAAGCAGCUCUCUGGGACGGUACUGACGCUGAGGCGCGAAAGCGUGGGGAGCGAACAGG
rnacentral:rRNA from 1 species